AACGAACGCUGGCGGCAGGCUUAACACAUGCAAGUCGAACGCCCCGCAAGGGGAGUGGCAGACGGGUGAGUAACGCGUGGGAACAUACCCUUUCCUGCGGAAUAGCUCUGGGAAACUGGAAUUAAUACCGCAUAUGCCCUACGGGGGAAAGAUUUAUCGGGGAAGGAUUGGCCCGCGUUGGAUCAGCUAGUUGGUGGGGUAAAGGCCUACCAAGGCGACGAUCCAUAGCUGGUCUGAGAGGAUGAUCAGCCACAUUGGGACUGAGACACGGCCCAAACUCCUACGGGAGGCAGCGGUGGGGAAUAUUGGACAAUGGGCGCAAGCCUGAUCCAGCCAUGCCGCGUGAGUGAUGAAGGCCUUAGGGUUGUAAAGCUCUUUCACCGAUGAAGAUAAUGACGGUAGUCGGAGAAGAAGCCCCGGCUAACUUCGUGCCAGCCGCCGCCGUAAUAC
rnacentral:rRNA from 1 species